GCAAGUCGAGCGGUAGAGAGGUGCUUGCACCUCUUGAGAGCGGCGGACGGGUGAGUAAAGCCUAGGAAUCUGCCUGGUAGUGGGGGAUAACGCUCGGAAACGGACGCUAAUACCGCAUACGUCCUACGGGAGAAAGCAGGGGACCUUCGGGCCUUGCGCUAUCAGAUGAGCCUAGGUCGGAUUAGCUAGUUGGUGAGGUAAUGGCUCACCAAGGCGACGAUCCGUAACUGGUCUGAGAGGAUGAUCAGUCACACUGGAACUGAGACACGGUCCAGACUCCUACGGGAGGCAGCAGUGGGGAAUAUUGGACAAUGGGCGAAAGCCUGAUCCAGCCAUGCCGCGUGUGUGAAGAAGGUCUUCGGAUUGUAAAGCACUUUAAGUUGGGAGGAAGGGCAUUAACCUAAUACGUUAGUGUUUUGACGUUACCGACAGAAUAAGCACCGGCUAACUCUGUGCCAGCAGCCGCGGUAAUACAGAGGGUGCAAGCGUUAAUCGGAAUUACUGGGCGUAAAGCGCGCGUAGGUGGUUCGUUAAGUUGGAUGUGAAAUCCCCGGGCUCAACCUGGGAACUGCAUUCAAAACUGUCGAGCUAGAGUAUGGUAGAGGGUGGUGGAAUUUCCUGUGUAGCGGUGAAAUGCGUAGAUAUAGGAAGGAACACCAGUGGCGAAGGCGACCACCUGGACUGGUACUGACACUGAGGUGCGAAAGCGUGGGGAGCAAACAGGAUUAGAUACCCUGGUAGUCCACGCCGUANACGAUGUCAACUAGCCGUUGGGAGCCUUGAGCUCUUAGUGGCGCAGCUAACGCAUUAAGUUGACCGCCUGGGGAGUACGGCCGCAAGGUUAAACUCAAAU
rnacentral:rRNA from 1 species